GUAAGUUGGGCGUGAAAGCUCCGGGCUUAACUCGGAGAUGUCGUUCAAUACUGCGGGGCUUGAGGACAGCAGAGGAAGGUGGAAUUCCCGGUGUAGUGGUGAAAUGCGUAGAUAUCGGGAGGAACACCCGUGGCGAAGGCGGCCUUCUGGGCUGUUCCUGACGCUGAAGGCGAAAGCUAGGGGAGCGAACGGGAUUAGAUACCCCGGUAGUCCUAGCUGUAAACGAUGGAUGCUGGGUGUGGGGGGUGUAAAUUCCCUCUGUGCCGAAGCAAACGCGUUAAGCAUCCCGCCUGGGGACUACGGCCGCAAGGCUAAAACUCAAACGAAUUGACGGGGGCCCGCACAAGCAGCGGAGCGUGUGGUUUAAUUCGAUGCUACACGAAGAACCUUACCUGGGUUUGACAUGCACGUGGUAGGGAACCGAAAGGGGACCGACCUUCGGGAGCGUGCACAGGUGCUGCAUGGCUGUCGUCAGCUCGUGCCGUGAGGUGUCGGGUUAAGUCCCGUAACGAGCGCAACCCUUGCCCUUAGUUACAAGUGUCUAAGGGGACUGCCCGGGACAACUGGGAGGAAGGUGGGGAUGACGUCAAGUCAGCAUGGCCUUUAUAUCCAGGGCUACACACACGCUACAAUGGCCGGUACAAUAGGUUGCGAAGUCGUGAGGCGGAGCCAAUCCUCAAAGCCGGUCUCAGUUCGAAUUGCAGUCUGCAACUCGACUGCAUGAAGCUGGAGUUGCUAGUAAUCGCAGGUCAGCUAUACUGCGGUGAUACGUUCCCGGGCCUUGUACACACCGCCCGUCACGUCAUGGAAGCUGGCAACGCCUGAAGCCGGUGAGCU
rnacentral:rRNA from 1 species